UACGAAGGGGGCUAGCGUUGCUCGGAAUCACUGGGCGUAAAGGGUGCGUAGGCGGGUCUUUUAAGUCAGGGGUGAAAUCCUGGAGCUCAACUCCAGAACUGCCUUUGAUACUGAGGAUCUUGAGUUCGGGAGAGGUGAGUGGAACUGCGAGUGUAGAGGUGAAAUUCGUAGAUAUUCGCAAGAACACCAGUGGCGAAGGCGGCUCACUGGCCCGAUACUGACGCUGAGGCACGAAAAGCGUGGGGAGCGAACAGG
rnacentral:rRNA from 1 species